rnacentral:rRNA from 1 species
GACGAACGCUGGCGGCGUGCCUAACACAUGCAAGUCGAGCGAGGUAUUUAUACCUAGCGGCGGACGGGUGAGUAACACGUGGGUAACCUGCCUCAUAGGGGGGAAUAGCCUUCCGAAAGGGAGAUUAAUACCGCAUAAUAUAUACCGGUAGCAUUAAUGGUAUAUCAAAGGAGAAAUCCGCUAUGAGAUGGUCGCGCGGCGCAUUAGCUAAGUGGAGGAGUAACGGCUCACCAAGGCGACGAUGCGUAGCCGACCUGAGAGGGUGAUCGGCCACGAUGGAACAGAGACACGGUACAGACUCCUACGGUAGGCAGCGGUGUGGAAUAUUGUUCACUUGGGGAAACCCUGAGGCAGCAACUCCGCGUGAAUGAUGACGGCCUUCUGGUUGUAAAGUUCUUUGAUUGGGGACGAAAAUGACGGUACCUAAAAAACAAGCCACGGCUAACUACGUGCCAGCAGCCGCGGUAAAAC